UGUUCUGUAUUCAGAAUAGUAAUACUAACCGUACUCAAUAGCAAGGUCAUUUGAUUAUAUCUUGAAACAUACCUCUAGUGUAUGCGCAAUGGUUUGGUCUGUGGAAGGCGGGACUCAGGAGCGGUCAGCAGGACGUCGUAGAUCAAUGAACUGAACUGAGUUUUCUGCCUGGGUUGGACGACACUUUGGUGGGAUUAAACCCUACAACCUACGCAGUGUAGCCUAUGUCAGGUAGCCUACAGAUGUGACAACGCGACAAGGACAUUUGAAUCAGGAUCGAAAACGGAAAUACCGGAGUUUAUUUCUAACCCGGUCGAUAUGCGGAUUUUGUCCAAAUAAACCCACUGGAUUCUAAUAAACGGGUCUGCAUGUAGCUUCAUUUUUUGGGAGUAAACAAGCUUCUUUUUUUAUCUCGGAAUAACUGGAAUAGGCUAUCCAGGAUGAUCUUUGCAAACACUGCCAACCCGUUGAAGAGCACAUAUCGGAAGCAGUCGUACCCCAUGGCUCCAGCCAGCCCCAGCACGGUGAGCACCAGCAGCAACAGCAGCACCACAGGAUGGGACCAGCUCAGCAAAACGAACCUGUACAUCCGCGGCCUGCCUCCAGCAACCACUGACCUGGACCUAGUCAAGCUCUGCCAGCCAUACGGCAAGAUCGUGUCGGCAAAGGCCAUCCUCGAUAAAACAACUAACAAAUGUAAAGGGUAUGGGUUUGUGGACUUUGACAGCCCUGCAGCAGCCCAGAAGGCGGUCCAUGCCCUAAAGACCAGUGGGAUACAAGCCCAGAUGGCUAAGCAGCAACAGGAGCAGGACCCCACCAACCUGUACAUCUCCAACCUGCCUGUGUCUGUAGACGAGCAGGAGCUGGAGGGGCUGCUGAGGCCUUUUGGACAGGUCAUCUCCACCCGCGUCCUCAGAGACUACAGCGGGGCCAGCAGAGGCGUCGGCUUCGCCAGGAUGGAGUCCAAGGAGAUGUGUAACUCAGUCAUAGCCCACUUCAAUGGGAAGUUUAUCAAGACGGCGCCUGGAACUACGGCUCCCUCUGAGCCUCUGCUGUGUAAGUUUGCUGAUGGUCAGAGGAAGAGGCACAGCCACAGUCCCUACAUCCCCAGCGGUCGCACAUGGCCCCGAGAGGGAGAGCUCAGACUAGGCGGGAUGACUCUCACCUACGACCCCACCUCAGCUGCAAUGCAGAACGGCUAUUAUGCCUCUCCCUACACCCUAACGGCCAAUAGGAUGAUGACUCAGCAAGCCAUGUCUCCCUACAUGUCUCCUGUCACCUCCUACCAGGUACAGAAUCCUUCCUGGAUGGCCCACCAGCCUUACAUCAUGCAACACCCACAGGCUGUAAUGUCGCCCUCUGUGGACCACUCCAUGACAAUGCAGCCCACCGCCAUCAUGACACAGCAGAUGGGCCAUCUCUCAUUGGGCAGCAGUGGAGCGCAGUAUAUUUCAGCCAACGCUGCAGUCCAGGCAGCCUAUAUGCCUCAGUACGCCCACAUGCAGCAGACAGCCGUAAGUUCCGAGGUUCGUCUUUGCCAUCUCAUUGUGUUGAUCUCCUCUCAUUCAUCCAUGUCUCAUCAUGAGUAUAGCCAUUUUACAUACAAUUUUUACAUCCCAUGCCAUUACUUACUUGAUGGUGCUAAUACACGAUAAUAAGAUGUGAAGUUACACAGUUUUUCCCUCUUCAGGAAAAUGGUUCACAGCAGCAAAUGGAUUCGUCCAACAAUUCGUCUCCCUACAGUCAACAGAGCAAGUAGCGAUAAGGUGACUUCUGUGAGCAGUAAUGGAUGCUGUGGGCGCUGACUCAUGAUGUCACAGUCAUAGCCUCUCCUGAUUGGACCAGACCAGACUUCAGUAAGAACUCUUUUGCACAGCUUCAACCAAACAACUGUGUAUGAUGGAACCAACAGCAGUGAUACCAUGGUGUGUAAAACGGAAGACAGAGCUGUAAAAAUGGACAAAACCAACAAUUAUUUCCCCCCUUCAAAACAGGAAAAAAAAUGUUUUAUUUUGAUAAACGAAAAGACGUGUAUUUUUUACCACGGAUUCUCCAAGUGGAUGCAAUGGGGCAAGUAGCCUACAGCGUGAUGUUAAAAGAUGCAUGAGAUUGAUUCUUUUUUUUUUGUGGAAUCUGUUGACUUAAGGAAAAAGAGAUUUCCAAUGGGUUUUAUAGGUAGUUUAUUAGCCAAGAUAUAUGAUGAAAAAUGUUGCUUGCAAAAAGUGUUCAUUUGGUGAGGUGUUACUGGUUUUUAUUUUUGGUCUUUAUAAGAUAUUAUCAUUCAAUUAGGCUUUUAGGGUUAAUGUCUGACAUGAUUUUCUGGAUCAGAUUAAAUAUGUAGGAUUGGCCGUUUGGCAGCUGUCAAUCAAUCUAUGAAUAGAGAACUGAUAAAGAAGCAGAUGUUUUGCCAAAUAGAUGAUGGGUUGGAUAAUGUGCCUUCCUCUAACAUCAUAAGUCAUUUUACAUAGCCUGGCAGAAUCCGAACUGAUUCCCUGACGUUUCACUGUUUCACUUCAUGGUGAUCACAGUAUUCAGCCUGGUCUAACCAGGCUACAUUAAAAAGAACAGCCACUCUUAAUUAGAACUCCUGUCAGUCCAUAGUAAGGUCUCUUUAGACUUUGACAGUGUAGGUGUCUUGUUUUUGUCAUAUUUCACCCCCAACCAAGGAUGUGAACCUCCAUCAAAUGCUACACAUACUGAUCUCAUCUCCCUAAUUAAGGCAAGAGAGCCUACAAUUCAAAUAAAAGAACACAUAUAGAUUUAAAAGAAAUGCAAGCUUGAAAUUGUGAGGUAACGUCAAGGCGGUUAAAUUUUUUCUCUUGCUAUUUUUUACUUCAACAGAUACAGUAAUAUUAAUAGAAAAUGCUUAACUUUAAUGAUGAAAUUACAAUCUGUUUUACUUUACGCUAAAUUGACGGGGUUGUCUUUAAAGAACAUUGAAUGGUCAUCUUGAAUGGUCACCAUGUGUGGUCAUGUGUGACUGGUUUUUAUCUACCUCAGAGUUCUGUCUGGGCUGGUACGGCUGGGUUUGCAGGUCCAGCCCGCCUCACCAGAGAAGAACACAAAAGCUGCGGACCAAAUCGCACCCUUUUUCUUAUGUAGUGCAUUACUUUUGACCCAUAGGCUUUUCACAUUGGGCUAUGUUCAUAACGGUGGGCCAGUAACCGUAAAGAUGCUGGAUCGAAUCCCCGAGCUGACAAGGUAAAAAUCUGUUGCUCUGCUCCUGAACAAGGCUGUUAACCCACUGUUCCACGGUAGGCCGUCAUUGUAAAUAAGAAUUUGUUCUUAACUGACUUGCCUAGUUAAAUAAAGGUUAAACAAAUAAAAACAGACACAUAAUUGUGUCUAUCCCAUUAUGGCGUCUGUGAGAGCAUUUUGAAGUAGUCAACUGGGUGGGACUUCCAAUGGGUUAAAGGGAUACUUCGGGAUUUUGGCAAUGAUGCCCUUUAUCUACUAUCAUGCUAGCAGAUACCCAUAGACUUCCAGUCAUUGCGCUAACACUAGUCAGCAUUGGCUUGCAAAACUACCUCUAACUUCAUUGAUACUGGACACAGAGACAUAAAAAUGGUAUCCACAAAUUCAUUUGACUCUGGAGAAGUAGAUAAAGGGCCUCAUUGCCAAAAUCCCGAAGUAUCCCUUUAACCCAUUGGAAGUCCCACCCAGUUGACUACCUCAAAAUGGUGAAAGUCCUCAAUGGUGCUGCCAAUGCUAAAAUAGGCUUUUGGGCACUCGAGUCCUCUAUGUAUCUCUAUGGGUCAAAAGCAUUGCACUAUAAAGAAAAUAAGGUCAGAUUUGGGACGCAUCCAAAGCCAAGCUCAGGAGCUGGCCAAUAGCAAUUUUUACUAUUCUUCCUCCUACUACUCUGUCCUCAAGUAAAGAAACAUUCUGUUUUGUUUAGUGUAGUAUCAUGCUGAAUCUUAUUUUUUGUUUGUUUUUCCGAUAUAAACAUUGCUACAGGUGGAAUGCGGUUUUUAGCUCCGCCUUAGUUUUGGAGUCUCCAAAGUUAAAAGAAAAAACAAAGUGCUGCUUGUCGAUCAGAGGUUCCAAUAGGCUGGGGAAUGAGGCGUUUUUUUUUUAAAUAAAAAAGAGGAACGCAAACCCACCACGUGGUAGUGUAGGCUUCUAGACUCGAUCUAUUCUUCCCUUGAAACACACACACACACACCUUCUCAGUAUGGGACUUUGUGUUGGCAGUUAAUGUGGUGAGGGGGGGAUGUAGAAGUCUGAAAGAUGGAAGUUUAAAUUGCAACCAUACUAUUUGUAGUCUUGCAUAGCUAGCGACGUCUGAACCAAGUGCAAUUCUGUGUCUGGAUCAAUAGGCUAGUUGUACAGCAAAUUCCACCAACACUUGUGUGAUAUAGACUGGCUGAUGACAAUAAAUAAAAAUGAAAUAGUAGUAAUUUAUGCAGAAAGAUAGAUUUUUUUUUGUUUUUGUUUUACAUGUCUGGGUGAUGAUGCUGCUGGGUAUCAUCAGUUAGAAAAAUAAAAUCAUUUUGUAUUUUUGUUUCCUUAUGUAUGUUACAGCCAUCGUUUCACUAGAUUGGUAGAACAAUCUUAUCCUUGUGCUUUCCUUUAUAAAAAUAUUUGAAUAAAAACCCACCAUGAAUCAGCCCUA